rnacentral:pre_miRNA from 1 species
UGUUGUUCUGAGUCUCUAAUAUAUUAAAAGUUUUGUUUUGGGCCCCUACCGCCAAUUAAGUGAUGACAUGACAUCAUUCCAAUGACUGAUAUAUAUUGGAAGAGCUGUUGAGAUGGUGCCACACCAUCACUAAAUGAUGACAAGGAUCCCAAACAAAACUUUUAAUAUAUCAGGGACUUGGAACAAU